GCCCUUGUAGCUCAGCUGGUAGAGCAGACGACUCUUAAUCGUAAGGUCGCAGGUUCAAUCCCUGCCGGGGGCACCA
rnacentral:tRNA from 1 species